rnacentral:rRNA from 1 species
GCUCAGAUUGAACGCUGGCGGCAUGCCUUACACAUGCAAGUCGAACGGUAACGGGUCCUUCGGGAUGCCGACGAGUGGCGAACGGGUGAGUAAUAUAUCGGAACGUGCCCAGUAGUGGGGGAUAACUGCUCGAAAGAGCAGCUAAUACCGCAUACGACCUGAGGGUGAAAGGGGGGGGAUCGCAAGACCUCUCGCUAUUGGAGCGGCCGAUAUCAGAUUAGCUAGUUGGUGGGGUAAAGGCCUACCAAGGCAACGAUCUGUAGUUGGUCUGAGAGGACGACCAGCCACACUGGGACUGAGACACGGCCCAGACUCCUACGGGAGGCAGCAGUA